UUGAACGCUGGCGGCAGGCCUAACACAUGCAAGUCGAGCGGUUGAGAGUAGCUUGCUACUUGAUGCAGCGGCGGACGGGUGAGUAACGCGUGGGAAUCUGCCCAGUAGUGGGGGACAACAGCCGGAAACGGCUGCUAAUACCGCAUACGCCCUACGGGGGAAAGGGGGGGAUCUUCGGACCUCUCGCUAUUGGAUGAGCCCGCGUCGGAGUAGCUAGUUGGUAGGGUAAAGGCCUACCAAGGCUACGAUCCGUAACUGGUCUGAGAGGAUGAUCAGUCACACUGGAACUGAGACACGGUCCAGACUCCUACGGGAGGCAGCAGUGGGGAAUAUUGGACAAUGGGGGAAACCCUGAUCCAGCCAUGCCGCGUGUGUGAAGAAGGCCUUAGGGUUGUAAAGCACUUUCAGUGGGGAGAAAGGAUUGUCACCUAAUACGUGAUGAAAUUGAUGUUACCCACAGAAGAAGCACCGGCUAACUCCGUGCCAGCCGCCGCCGUAACAC
rnacentral:rRNA from 1 species